AGGAAGAUUAAUACCGCNUAAGAUUGUAGUAUCGCAUGAUAUAGCAAUUAAAGGAGCAAUUCGCUAUAAGAUGGACCCGCGUCGCAUUAGCUAGUUGGUGAGGUAAUGGCUCACCAAGGCGACGAUGCGUAGCCGACCUGAGAGGGUGAUCGGCCACAUUCGGGACUGAGACACGGCCCAGACUCCUACGGGAGGCAGCAUG
rnacentral:rRNA from 1 species